CCAUUUCCCAAAGACAGGAUCCAUCAUCACUUUGCAGAAACAGGAACUGCUAAGCAAUCCAGUAGCCUACUUUUUGAAGGAUGAUGGCAAGGUAUUCAUCAAAGUGGUUAUCAACCUUGGCUUCACCAUUCAUUCCAGAUCACCUGAGAUUUCUUCAAUUCUUCCUUCCUCGCUAAACAGG